rnacentral:snoRNA from 1 species
ACCCUUUAGAUUCCUCACCCCUCAGAUCUAAAUAUUGGUCUGAGUGGCUGAAAAAGGAGGAAAAAGCAAAACUGAACAUGACAUGGAGUCUUUAAUAAAUAGAAGUUCAUUUCAAACAUAA